CAUUUCGUCCGUUGACGUAUGGUUGUAUCCCUUCCAGUCAUUCAUUAAUGUCUGGUUACCUCUCCGUUGGUCUUGGUAAACGUCGAGUUUUUCCUAGUUGUCCGUUGGCAUCUAGUUGUGAUUUCUAUUCCCAUUCGUCAUCGUUGUGAUGUCUGGAUGUGGCCAUACCCUUUGAAAACCAAAAAACAAAAAAAUAUACCCAGUAAUAAAUAUCAAAUCCCAGUGGA
rnacentral:lncRNA from 1 species